UAAACGCCCACACAAGAUCAUAAACAAUUAAGAGACUAGAUCUCACUUCUUCUUCCUGUACCGCUGGGUUCCUCUUUUCUGUCCCAUCAUUGCUCCACUGCCACCUUUCCACUUCAUUUUGAUGAGCAGUUCUCCGUGUUUUCUGGCACGUCUUGUCCUUCCAGCUGCCUCUGAUCAUGAACCAUAGCACAUCUGUGAAGACCGUUACCUCCCCUUGCUCAGCUCUCCGCCAGGGCUUCCUUCCUGCCUUCCUUCCCUUCUGGGCAGAGCAACAGCACUCACAGAUUUAUAAAUCCUGAUCAGAGACUUUGGAUGCCUCAUGUUUACAUUUGGAGACUCCUUUCCAGCCUAUAUAAGCCCAACGAUGAGGUCUUGAGUCCUAGUCCCUUCCCUGGAUCUGUAAAGCCUCAUCUCUGCCUCUCAUAUCUAUACCUUCCCCCCCCCCCACUGUCUGCACAUUUGUACCUCCUGCUUUCUUGAAGGUUCAAGGAGCAGAGGCAGCCACCCCUGGAUUCAUGCCUCCACACCCUGGACCUUCCCCAAUAAAUCUCUUUCAUGAAAUUUGCUGCCUGGUGUAACCGUCAUCAGAAGAAGCCAAGCAACAAUGAAGAGAAGAAGUGGAACAGGGCUGAGGCUCCUGAGCACCUCAGCUCAGCGCCUCAGCUCAACUAAAGAUCCCCUGGGAACUGCAACCCCUCUGCUGAGGAGGCUUCCUCUCAGAGCUAUGGAGUUCCUGGGCUCCUAUGUCUCAGGAUUCUCUUCUACUGGAACACUGCCCCACCACAGAUCUGUGUGGUUCCUAGGCUUCUGACUCCCAGGACACCUUCCCAUCUGACCAGGAAGGACAAUGCCAUCCUCAUAGACUGAACAACUAGUAGAUUCCUGGGCUUUCUGUUCAUAGACAGCUAUUGUUGGAUUUGCUGGACCAAAGACUGUAAAUUAUUCUAAUAAAUCCCCUUCCGAUGUAAAGAAAGAUUC
rnacentral:lncRNA from 1 species